CAGACUCCUCUUGGUUACUGUGGUCAAAAUAACCACUGACAGAGACAGUCUGCAGAGGGAGGGAGUCUUUUGACUCAAUCUUUUGGAGGCACCAGUCCACCACACAGGAAGGUGUGGCAAAGCAGAACAGUUCCCACCAUGUAGCUACCAGGAAGCGGAGAAAGGGGGAGCUGGCAUUCUCUUGGCUCCCUGGAUCAUCCAGUACUCAGGACAGCGUACCCGCAUCUCAGGUACACUGGAGACAGAUAGCUCCGUGUGGUGACUGACACGGACCACGUCGAAGACUGCUAUUUGCUGAAGAUGAACAGGUGAAGUCAGCCCCAAGCUGCCAACAAUGCAGGGGACCCGUGCUCACACAGGACCAUGGUGAUGUUGCCUGGGUCCCUUGAAAAGAAGCCUGGAGACUCCACGUGCUAUUCACAAAGGCUUGCCUGUGCAAGGCACAGGGCCACCCAACCCAGCACCCUUCUCUGGGCACCUGGUUUUUCUCGGGACAUCAACCUUCAUCCACUCAGUCUAUAUGAUGAUGGAAGGGGCUGCUUCUGUUCCUGUCCUGGGCCACAGUGACAGGCUCUGCCACAGUCAUGCCAUGCAAGCCAUCCCAAGGAGACUGAAUUCCCUAAGUCUGGAACAUAUAUUGGAGAAAGAACAGGAUUUCUUGAUCCCUUUCUGCUCUGUAAACCACUUAAGCUGACUUCUUUCCCAUCACUUGUAGCCAAUAACGUAUAAUCUAAAUAAACUGAUAUUUAACUUCAA